rnacentral:rRNA from 1 species
CAAUGGCACUGCCCGGUAGCUAAAUGCGGAAGAGAUAAGUGCUGAAAGCAUCUAAGCACGAAACUUGCCCCGAGAUGAGUUCUCCCUGACUCCUUGAGAGUCCUGAAGGAACGUUGAAGACGACGACGUUGAUAGGCCGGGUGUGUAAGCGCAGCGAUGCGUUGAGCUAACCGGUACUAAUGAACCGUGAGGCUUAACCUUACAACGCCGAAGGUGUUU